GUCACUUCGCGUGCGUGCGUGCGUGCGUCACGUGGUAGGGAGGGCGGGGCGGCGCCGCGCUGAGGGGAGGCUGUGCCCCGCCCGGGCCCGGCCCUGAGGGGAGCGGGGCGUUAUCCGCAGCGCCCGAAGUUUUGCGUCCGUUCCGCGUCCGCUGGGGCAGGAAGCCGCCUCAGCUAUAGGAACGGGGAAGCCUGAGCAUCACUCCUGCUGUGGAGCUGUGCCAUAGGAAUGGGAAGAGCUUGCCAGUCUACUGUGGAGGAGAUGAUGUUAAAGCCACACAGAUGAGGUUAUUCCUAGGAGUUCCAGGAGCAGAGUCAUUUCGUCCCGACGUGCAGCACCCUGCCUGCCCUGACAGAAGGUUGCUUUCCUGCUCCAAUCUCUGCAGCCAAGGUACAGCUUAUCCUGGAAGAUGGUAUUCUACUGCAGGGAUGGGGCCAGGCUUUGGCAGAGCAAGGAGAACACCCGCAUAGGCUGCUGGAGCGCUGAGCUGUUCGUACUUCCAGGGCUUAGCUGGGGGAAAAAGAAACAACACCAAACAGAAGUCUGGGCCACUUAUUACCUGCAGGGUGUUUCUGUCCACAGCUGUUACCCAACAGCUGCGUGUGCCAGCCAAGACCCGUAUUCUCACUCCUGCUGCCUGCAGCUGGGAGCAUGAUACAGAGCUAUGGGAGAAAUACUGUGCUUUUGGCCUGCGGCUUGUGCAACCCCCAAGCAGGUGGAAUAAUGCUAAGCUAGCACUGAUGGGGCAGAGCAUCUCCUGCUUGUACCUUUCCUGCAGUUCUGUCUGCAGAUAAAGCCAUAUCCAAAAGUGGUUGCUCUGAAGGCAGCACCCUGACAGGUGUCAGGCUUGCUGAGGUGUUGCUGCGUCUGCUUGGUGCUACUGUGUCCCAGGUACCCAGCACAGACCUGGGAGGCAGAGAGCUGACCAGAACUGCCCUGAGCCACCUCCUGGCCUUGCAGGCUUAUGGUACCAAAGCACACCCCAGCAUGAGAGAUGCCUGGGUGCUCCUGCUGCUGACGUGGUGCUUCCCAGCUAGUUACAGGAAGCAGAUGUCCCAUUUGGGGCACCCUGUGCACCAUGGCAUGCUUUCAUCCCUUUUGCAGGCUCUUACGAUGCACCUCCACUAGCAGCCCCCUACCAAAACAGAACAACCCAAGAGCCUGAGCUCCCUGGGACAUCUGGGUCCCCUGCAAGUGCACAGUGGGCAGGCAGAGCCAGCAGGAUAAGAACAUGAAGUCUGAGGCAGCCUGACAAAGGACUGUUAGUAAGGACAGCGGUCCCGGAGGCUGCGAGCUGCUGGGCUUUGCUAAGAAACCCAUCGAGAUGGUGCUGGCCCCAGGGGUCCUUGCUUCUGCUGGCUGUUGGGGCAUUUUGCUGCUUUAACCUACUCCUCUCUCAGAACUGUGAGGGCUGCUAAGAUGAUUAAGAGCUUGGAGCACCUGCCAUAUAAAAAAAAAGAGCCUGGGAGAAUGGAGGCUUGGAGCGGUUCUUAUCCAUGUCUCUCAACACUUGGUGGUGGGUAAAGAAGAGAGACCAGUUCUCCUUAGUGAUGCCCAGUGACAGAAUGAGAGCCAUACUGAUAGCAAAAUACAGGAGUUCCAUUUAAACUAAAGAAAUGCUUUUUCUGUGAGGCUGGCUGAAUACUGGAACAGGUGGCACAGAAGUGUUCUGUCAUCUCCAUCUUUGGAAACGGUCCUGGGCAGCCUGCUUGAACUAACUCACGUUGAGCAGGGGGGGGGAAUGGAAGGCCAUGUUCAGAGGUCCCUUCCCAACUCAAUUCCACAAUUCCUUGAUGCGUUGUGGCUUGGUAUCGCUGUGAUGAGACAUACAUGGUCCUACCAUUCUGACUUCCAGCCAUUGCCUCCCUUCUCUGGGGCAGGUCAGGGCUUCCCUGUGCUGAGCACAGCUCAGCUGUGACCCUGCUCUGCGCAAUGCAUUGUGGCGCCUUAGCGAGGCUUCCCAUGCCCUGCAGCCCAGGUUUGGCAGCAUCAUGGUAACUCUCACACAGCUCAGGGACAGUGAAAACUCCUUCUGCUGCUAAAAGAGAUAGCUGCUGUACUGCUGGUAAAAGCAGAAGGUUGAUCCUCACCUGAGAAACACCCACCCAGCUUUCAGUCCAGGGAGACACCCCCAGGCCAGAGCUCCCUGCCCCUUGGCACAGGGGCUGAACACCCACGCAGCAACACCGACGCUCAUUAAAGGUUUACUUUUAUUUCUGGUUUAAAAUCAAAAUUAGUCAUUCUCUGUAAUUACAUUAUAUAUAGAUUUAUAGAGACAUUAUAGAAAAGAAUUUGUCGCUUUUUUUCUGCAAAAAAAAAAAAAAAAAGAAAUCUGUAAAUAAAAAAUAAAAUAAACAACAAGGAAAGGAAAAGGUGGCAGUGUCCGUCUGUCCGUCCCUCUGUCGCUCCUCCUGCCCCUGCCCUCCACAGCACUCCCCCGCAGAGGGGAAGGGCUCUGGGCUGGGGCUGUGCCUCACUGCGCCCCACCGCCGGGGAGGGACAGGAGCAUGCGGAGCUGGAAAGAAGAAAUGCCAGCAGAAUAUAUUAAUAUAUCUCAUAUCUCAUUUUAUUUAAGUCCUGCGGACUUCCAGGUGGCAAAAGGGCAGCGGUUCCCUCCCAGCCCAGGCGACUUCUGGAAAGAAACAGCAUCGCUUCCAAAGUGUGGGUCCUUCCAGGAAAGGGCACGCGGCCCGAGCAGCAGGAAGGCAAGAGGCGGAGGAAUCCGCACACCCUUGAACAGAUCCCAUCUCCAAAAGCCGGCAGAGCUCCCAGUCCAGGAGCUGGGGCAAGUGGGCGAGGCCCAGGGCUGUGCCAGGUGCAGCAUGCCAACCAGCUGUGCACUUCUGCAUGCACCUACAUGGGGACCCCAAGAGCUUCCCAGCACCCCCGCGUACACACAGGGAUGCACACUCCAUGCUGAGAGAUCUCUGCCCAGCAGCCCUGCACACAGAUCUGCACGCAGCAGCCAUCCCCAGCAGAGCUGGUGACGUGGGACACAGGACACGUGGCACCUAUGUGCGCAGGCAUUGCCGCGGGGCUACGAACAACCAAGACACACAGACUCCAAAAAGUGACGUGGCUGACAGGCUCUAAGACAGAGACAUUUGUGAGCAAAGCAGGAGUGGGGCUGAGGGACGAGGACAGCUCACAUGUCCCAACCUGUGCAGCAGCUGCCGCGGUCUGGAGGCCUAGAAACCCAACUCAGAUGGUUCUCUCAGUGCCAUCUAGCAAAUAAUAAAUAACACCCACGCUUA